AGAGUUUGAUCCUGGCUCAGAUUGAACGCUGGCGGCAUGCCUUACACAUGCAAGUCGAACGGUAACAGGGAGCUUGCUCCGCUGACGAGUGGCGAACGGGUGAGUAAUGUAUCGGAACGUACCUUUCAGUGGGGGAUAACGUAGCGAAAGUUACGCUAAUACCGCAUAUUCUGUGAGCAGGAAAGCAGGGGAUCGCAAGACCUUGCGCUGAUUGAGCGGCCGAUAUCAGAUUAGCUAGUUGGUGAGGUAAAGGCUCACCAAGGCGACGAUCUGUAGCGGGUCUGAGAGGAUGAUCCGCCACACUGGAACUGAGACACGGUCCAGACUCCUACGGGAGGCAGCAGUGGGGAAUUUUGGACAAUGGGGGCAACCCUGAUCCAGCCAUGCCGCGUGAGUGAAGAAGGCCUUCGGGUUGUAAAGCUCUUUCGGCCGGGAAGAAACCGCAUGGGUUAAUACCCUGUGCGGAUGACGGUACCGGCAUAAGAAGCACCGGCUAACUACGUGCCAGCAGCCGCGGUAAUACGUAGGGUGCGAGCGUUAAUCGGAAUUACUGGGCGUAAAGCGUGCGCAGGCGGUUUUGUAAGACAGGCGUGAAAUCCCCGGGCUCAACCUGGGAACUGCGCUUGUGACUGCAAGGCUAGA
rnacentral:rRNA from 1 species